rnacentral:rRNA from 1 species
ACUGAACGCUGGCGGCAGGCCUAACACAUGCAAGUCGAACGAGUGGCGGACGGGUGCGUAAUGUCUGGGAAACUGCUCGAUGGAGGGGGUUCACCACUGGAAACGGUAGCUAAUACCGCAUACCAUCGGAUGUGGCCAGAUGGGAUUAGCGAGUAGGUGGGGUAACGGCUCACCUAGGCGACGAUCCCGAGCUGGUCUGAGAGGAUGACGGGCCACACUGGAACGUGGACACGGUCUAGACGCCUACGGGAGGAAGUAGGGGGGAAUAUUGCACGAUGGGCGCAAGCCUGAUACAGACAUGCGGCGUGUAUGGAGAAGGCGAUCGGGUUGUAAGGUACGUUAAGCGAGGAGGGGUUACUCGCAGAAGAAGCACCGGCUAGCUCCGUGCCAGCAGCCGCGGUAAUAC